CUACGAGGCGCUUGCUUACCAUGCAGUCGUACGAAAAAGAAUUUUUAGUGGCGGACGGGUGAGUAACACGUGAGAAUUUGCCCUUAGGAAGAGGAUAACGAAUAGAAAUAUUUGCUAAAACUCUAUAUGCCAUACGGUGAAAAAAGCAAUUUGCCUAAGGAGAAGCUUGCGUCUGAUUAGCUAGUUGGUAAGGUAAAGGCUUACCAAGGCGACGAUCAGUAGCUGGUCUGAGAGGACGAUCAGCCACACUGGAACUGAGACACGGUCCAGACUCCUACGGGAGGCAGCAGUGAGGAAUUUUCCGCAAUGGGCGAAAGCCUGACGGAGCAAUACCGCGUGAAGGAUGAAGGCCUAUGGGUUGUAAACUUCUUUUCUCAAGGAGGAAGAUCUGACGUUACUUGAGGAAUAAGCAUCGGCUAACCCUGUGCCAGCAGCCGCGGUAAUACAGGGGAUGCAAGUGUUAUCCGGAAUUAUUGGGCGUAAAGCGUCUGUAGGUUGGUAAUUAAGUCUUUUGUUAAACCUUCGGGCUCAACCCGAAAUCUGCAAAAGAAACUAUUUAUCUUGAGUAUAGUAGGGGUAAAGGGAAUUUCCAGUGGAGCGGUGAAAUGCGUAGAGAUUGGAAAGAACACCAAAAGCGAAGGCACUUUACUGGGCUAUAACUGACACUGAGAGACGAAAGCUAGGGGAGCAAACGGGAUUAGAUACCCCGGUAGUCCUAGCUGUAAACGAUGGAUACUAGAUAUUGUGUAUUUUAGAUAUACAGUGUCGUAGCUAACGCGUUAAGUAUCCCGCCUGGGGAGUAUGCUCGCAAGGGUGAAACUCAAAGGAAUUGACGGGGCCCGCACAAGCGGUGGAGCAUGUGGUUUAAUUCGAUGCAACACGAAGAACCUUACCAGGACUUGACAUGAAGAGAAGUUUUCAGAAAGGAAAAUGUGCUACGGCCUCUUACACAGAUGGUGCAUGGCUGUCGUCAGCUCGUGUCGUGAGAUGUUGGGUAGUCCCGCACGAGCGCACCCUUGUCUUUAGUAUAUCUAAGAGACUGCCGUAUAACCGAGAGGUGAGGAUGACGUCAGUCAUCAUGCCUCUUACGUCUGGGCUACACAC
rnacentral:rRNA from 1 species